GCUUCGUUUCGCUUCGCUUUGCUUUGCUUCGCUUUGUUCGUUUUGUUCGUUUGUUCUUUCGUAAACAGCUUGUUCGGUACGUCGAAUCGGGGUGGGGGGUGGGGAUGAUGAGUAUUUUCACGAUGAAAUAUACACAGAGGUCCCUGGAAAUGUGUGCUUCUGUACUCCAUUGUGUUACUGCCCUUGUUCCGCCUCUUCCUCCUCCAGCCAUUCCCGAAGAAUGUUGUUUCCUCCCUGUAAAUAUCAUGAAACGGACGCAUUAGAGACCCGGACUGGAUUGAUUCAUUUCUAGAAUUGUUUGUUCAAGCAGGCCUAGAAGAUUCGUGUGAUUCAGGGCUUGAAACGGUCUCGAGAACGAUCGUUAAUAUCCAACCGUCGGGCAAAGGUCACAAACAGUCACGAUGGAACAAUAUUCCAAGUAUACAUAUACAUUGUUUCGAAUAGACUGCGGAUCUCUAGGGAAAAUAAAAAUUCUCGACCACGACGAGCAGAAGUUCAGCUUCAUUCUGAACAUUUUUAGCCCUGCGUGUAAUACGGUCAAAGAAGUAGGAAGAUUCAUAGCGCCGGAACGUACAGGUGCAAUGUAAACGUGAACGUUCGAACGUGUUCACGCGUAAACCGCUGUUCCUUAUAAUCGUAACUCAGUUUCGUGUUGGCAUCUCAUUGUUCAUCGAACAGUCGCUAGCUCGACAGUUGUGUAAUCGUGCGUGGAAGCAAUCGGGCGGGAAUGGAAAGGUUUUAUCAACGACGGUGGAAUUUCGUCCAACUUGCAACGUCUUUGGACGGAUCAUUGCCAAAAGGGAAGUGGUUGGGUGCAACUUUUAAAAAAUAAACGAAAAGAAAAGAAGGUCUACAGACGGUCAAAUUGAAAGGUAUAAAGGAACUAACGUGUAGAACCUCGUUUAUAUUUCCACAAGCAACAGAAUGUGAGCAUCGACAUUAAUUUAUCGAAAUGAUUUUGAGAAACUCUUACUGAAGAUAGGGGUCGAAUAAAAAAUGUAUUUUAAUAAAUUGAGAACAGUACUGUAACAAUCUCAACUAUACUCUAACAACGAGAACAGUUUGCGAAGGUAGCUAAUAAACCUACAUUAUCCAAAUUGCCUUUGUCUUCUGAAAGCUUUAGAUGAACUAGUCGCUGUUCCGCCGUUUCUCUCAACGUUUGAUGCAAUUUGAGCAAUUACAAGACUCAGAAAUUAAAUAAAAAUGUAUUUCAUCUCUCAA